AGCUUCCUCAUCCCCCACAGUCACCGUCCGAUAGCUUCAGAUAGAGCUCGAACCCCACGGUCGCUGUCCGAGACAAGGGCGUCGACGGUAGCACAGCUGGCGGAGUCCUCAUCCCCGACAGUCGUAGCCCCAUAGCUUUGGAUAGGGCCCGGACCCCACGAUCACCGCUCGAGACAGGGGCGUCGAUGGUAGUGCAGCCAGCAAAGGUGGCUGUGGAGGCGAUCGAUAUCAGUGGUCC
rnacentral:lncRNA from 1 species